GAGUUUGAUCCUGGCUCAGAACGAACGCUGGCGGCGUGCUUAACACAUGCAAGUCGAACGUGAUCCAGAGCUUGCUCUGGUGAAAGUGGCGCACGGGUGAGUAACGCGUGGAUAACCUGCCCUGGUAUCUGGGAUAACAUCUCGAAAGGGGUGCUAAUACCGGAUAAGCCUACGGGAUCUUCGGAUUCUGCAGGAAAAGGAGGCCUCUAUUUAUAAGCUUCCGUAUCAUGAUGGGUCCGCGUACCAUCAGCUAGUUGGUGGGGUAAUGGCCUACCAAGGCGACGAUGGUUAGCUGGUCUGAGAGGAUGAUCAGCCACACUGGAACUGAGACACGGUCCAGACUCCUACGGGAGGCAGCAGUGGGGAAUUUUGCGCAAUGGGGGAAACCCUGACGCAGCAACGCCGCGUGAGUGAUGAAGGCUUUCGGGUCGUAAAGCUCUGUCAGAGGGGAAGAAAUGAAACGUGCUAAUAUCACGUUUUCUUGACGGUACCCUCAAAGGAAGCACCGGCUAACUCCGUGCCAGCAGCCGCGGUAAUACAAGGGCGMMYY
rnacentral:rRNA from 1 species